AUUGAACGCUGGCGGCAGGCCUAACACAUGCAAGUCGAACGAGUGGCGGACGGGUGUGUUAUGUCUGGGAAACUGCUCGAUGGAGGGGGAUAACUACUGGAAACGGUAGCUAAUACCGCACACUAACGGAUGCCCCCAGAUGGGAUUAGCUUGUAGGUGGGGUAAAGGCUCACCUAGGCGACGAUCCCUAGCUGGUCUGAGAGGAUGACCAGCCACACUGGAACUGAGACACGGUCCAGACUCCUACGGGAGGCAGCAGUGGGGAAUAUUGCACAAUGGGCGCAAGCCUGAUGCAGCCAUGCCGCGUGUAUGAAGAAGGCCUUCGGGUUGUAAAGUACUUUCAGCGGGGAGGCGUUACCCGCAGAAGAAGCACCGGCUAACUCCGUGCCAGCCGCCGCGGUAAUUC
rnacentral:rRNA from 1 species